GUUCGCGCCUUGAGAUCGAUUCGUGCCUCUGACCUAGAUCGUUUGUGUGCGCUGCGCUUGUUGGUAACUUUGCUCCUGCGGUAAUUUAUGUGACUCAUCUGCAGAGCCUCGGAGCUGCGGAGAGGGGGCCGGCGGAGCUUCCCUGGCCGGCAAACCGGCCUCCAAAAGGAGGACAGGAAUAAAAGAGAUGGAUGGGAAGUCAAUUCCUGGGUCUCCUGUUCUAGAGCGUGUAAGGAGGGUGAAAAUAUUGCUUCAACUGCUGAAAAUCAAGCAGCCGAUUUUCAAUCAAGAUUCACAGGCUGUAGACAGGCACUCCUUGCCGGCAAGAGAUAGAAACAUCUGCGGACACACAUGUACCCAAACGUGCAGGUGGCAACACAGAACACGCAUCCACACAGGUGCUCAGUGGAGACUGCUGCAGGAGAGAUGGAAGACCAUUCUGUUAAGAUAAACAUUGGAAAGCACCUGGCAAAAUGCCUGCUGCAUGACGGCGCUCAAGACACGGAUGGCCAUCCUCAUCACCAUCAUCCUCCAGGUCCCCAUCACCAUAUUCUAUGUCAGCCACUACUUCAAACACUGGCAAAUUCACUUCUCGAAAAGAUUCCGCACGGCGGCACCCGGGUGGCUCAGCAGGUGAAGCGUCUGCCUUCGCCUCGAGUCAUGAUCUCAGGGUCCUGGGAUCGAGCGCCGCAUCCAGAGUCUGCUUCUCCCUCUCCCUCUUUUCUCUCUCU
rnacentral:lncRNA from 1 species